CUGGUCUUGACAUCCACGGAAGUUUUCAGAGAUGAGAAUGUGCCUUCGGGAACCGUGAGACAGGUGCUGCAUGGCUGUCGUCAGCUCGUGUUGUGAAAUGUUGGGUUAAGUCCCGCAACGAGCGCAACCCUUAUCCUUUGUUGCCAGCGGUCCGGCCGGGAACUCAAAGGAGACUGCCAGUGAUAAACUGGAGGAAGGUGGGGAUGACGUCAAGUCAUCAUGGCCCUUACGACCGGGGCUACACACGUGCUACAAUGGCGCAUACAAAGAGAAGCGACCUCGCGAGAGCAAGCGGACCUCAUAAAGUGCGUCGUAGUCCGGAUUGGAGUCUGCAACUCGACUCCAUGAAGUCGGAAUCGCUAGUAAUCGUGGAUCAGAAUGCCACGGUGAAUACGUUCCCGGGCCUUGUACACACCGCCCGUCACACCAUGGGAGUGGGUUGCAAAAGAAGUAGGUAGCUUAACCUUCGGGAGGGCGCUUACCACUUUGUGAUUCAUGACUGGGGUG
rnacentral:rRNA from 1 species